UGUGGAUUUGAUGUUGUUGGCGACGGCGAUAGGGCCUUCAAAUUUCGCCCAUUUGGCUGGAAUUGGAUGGCGAAAUUGACGUGGCAACUGCUGGAGAGGCAGCUCUAUCGGAGGCGUGGCAGUGGCUGCUCUGGACCUGUGCGGUGGAUUGUCAGGAGCGUCGUCAAUAAAUCCUAAAAUGUCGUCCAAUUGGCAUCAAAUGUGUGGUGUUGAUGACGGGGCAGCUGCUGAAGGGGCAGAUCCGUCGGAGGCGUGGCAGCUACAGCAGCUGCAACAGCAGCCGCAGCGCGAACAACAACAGC